CCUACGGGUGGCAGCAGUGAGGAAUAUUGGUCAAUGGACGAGAGUCUGAACCAGCCAAGUAGCGUGAAGGAUGACUGCCCUAUGGGUUGUAAACUUCUUUUAUAUGGGAAUAAAACAGGGUAUGCAUACCCUCUUUUAUGUACCAUAUGAAUAAGGAUCGGCUAACUCCGUGCCAGCAGCCGCGGUAAUACGGAGGAUCCGAGCGUUAUCCGGAUUUAUUGGGUUUAAAGGGAGCGUAGGUGGAUUGUUAAGUCAGUUGUGAAAGUUUGCGGCUCAACCGUAAAAUUGCAGUUGAAACUGGCAGUCUUGAGUACAGUAGAGGUGGGCGGAAUUCGUGGUGUAGCGGUGAAAUGCUUAGAUAUCACGAAGAACUCCGAUUGCGAAGGCAGCUCACUGGACUGCAACUGACACUGAUGCUCGAAAGUGUGGGUAUCAAACAGGAUUAGAUACCCGGGUAGUC
rnacentral:rRNA from 1 species